AGCCAGCCUAUCCCUAUCUUCUGCGGUUGCGGUCGAUGCCAGAAAAGACGAGGCAAAAAGGACUGUUGUAGCUGUAAUAGUAGCAGCAAGCAUAACAGAAGUGAGCCUUUGAAGAUGUGGCGAGGUGAACAGUGUACAACAAGCGACAGUAACAUCCUUCACAAAGACCGGUUGAGAAAGGGCCUUCAGUAUAAGGAGGCAGAAGCAGGACGAAGAUGGCAAUGGUGGAAGAGGGGUUAGCGAAAGAAAAACGAAGGGCUCCUUGCCGAUGCUUCCGACCAACGGCCUGGCUACACCGUUCUCCGUUGUUUGCUGUAGCUGCUGUCGUAUCCGUUGCCGCAGCAAGGAAUCUGUCCUGUCAGACAGUUACCGGUCAGAAGCUCCCUCCCCUGUCCUCGUGUCAUGGUGUCGUGCCGGCAGUUCUCGUACUCUGGACAGCUCUAUUCGAGCCUCUAGCGGCAACUCUACGAGCAGCGGCGGUGAAGAACGAACCUUUAGUUACUUAGGGACGCGUAAACGCACCCCCACCUUCAAUGGCAGUGCUCAGCCUCUGGUGUCAGUAUCAUACACACAUACGGUUGAAAGCAGAAGCAGCAAGCCCGCCCAGUAGUUUGCUUGAGAGGCGUUUCUUUUUCCUUCCUCUAAUGAUUCUUCUGUACCUAUUCGGCCGCUAUAUCUGACAUUUUCCUUUGUGUAUAUGCCCACGAACGUCAGUCACCGGUUCUAUGGCAUGGGCUGACACGUAGCCUAAGACCGUAGAAACUGACGUUUCUGACCAUUAUGGCUCCAGAAGUGUAUUUUUCUCUAAAAGCCCACGUAUCACUAUGGCCUGACCAUGCGUAUCUAAAAGGAUUUUACCCUUCGCUUACGGUUAGCAGCGCUACGACUCGGAAGACGAAGGAUUCACGAAGGAGACGAUGCCGGAACUUUUGUGACGCUUGCCUGAUCUGAAGACGAACUCAACCAUUUCCUUGAGCGGACCACAUGCGACAGCGUAUCGAGCUCCGUCGUAAAAGAUAUGGAAAAUUAACCUGAAAAACUUCGUGUCUACCUUCAGCUGAUCGCAAUUCCUCUCAUCUAAUCAAACGUUGCAAGACGGUCGGCACAUACAUAUAAAUUAGCGGAACAGGUGUAUGGCGAGCAAACGCAAACCCGCCUUAAUUUAAACGAAUUCGAUCUAGACUUCAACCAGCUUCAAAGCAGGCAACAUCUCUGGUAUCCCUGUCGUCAAUCAGCCCCUUUCUCGCCGUUGGUCUUAUUUCAUACGUUCUUCCGGCCGAUCGCCGCAUGUCCCUGCACCGUUUGAUAGAUGAACGUAUUCGACCUUUGGUCACUCGUCUAAACAGUAUGACUUCCUUAGGUUCGGGCGUGGCCGCCGUGCAGCUGUUUCUACUUCUCGACCUUGUCUACGUAAUAGAGUCACCAGCAGCUAUAAUAGUAGCUACGCUGUAACAGUUGAACAACACAGCAUGGCAUAACCUGACAAGCACCAAUUUUAGCCGUUCCUGUUGCCUUUUGAUCGACUACAUCAUCAUCUCCGGAUGUUUCACAGUUCUGACGAGGGGAGAAGGUGGCAAGGGAACAAUGUCGCUGAGUAUUGAGCGUUACUUCUGCCGCUGGUUAUGGACGUCGUCGAUUAUUCUCUUUGAUGAUCGUGAUGCCGUUGGUGUUGCUAAUGCGCCGAUGCUGAUGAUCACUAGAGCGAGGUUACCGCAGACAGUGGCGCUAGAUGGAUGGGUUUGUGACGUGGCGCACACGUCAUUUGCGUUUUCGAAGCAGCAGCCCACCGCCAUAGUGUAUUUCCCACCAGCAUGGCAUACGUUGACGACAACAACCAGUCAACCAAUCAAAGCUUGUUGCCUUAGUGGUAAGCUUACAGCAUUGCUCGUCGAUUUGCCAACCACACGCGGUACCAGCGGUGGUGGCUACGGCAGCGAAAGCAUGAGGGCAAAUGACCUCCCUUUUUAUACGACUUGCUAAGCAUCCACGAUGUUCAUCGCUGUUCAUUCAUGACGUUCGUCCGUUUCUCGUACGGCCGAAGGAUCUCGCGCUCUCGCCGUCGUCUGCCGCUUCGAAGCGGAAGCAGGAUGGCGGGCACAAUUCAAGCGAUGACUCGCGUAACACGGACUCGACUGAAGGAGGCAGAAGGAGUGGACGAAAAAGUUAGCGGGAAGAGUCGGCGACUAAAAGAGAUGUGUCGGAAAAGUCGAUGACGACGCUGGAUGCUGGGAAGCGUAGUGGGCAGGACAUGGAAAAAUCGGUGAUGGCAUUAAGCGUAAUACCAUGUGUUGCCAAUGGUAGGAAGUCCAGUUUGCAAUAUUAGAUGAAGCAGAAGUGAAUAUUGUUUUAAUUUGGUUAUUUAAUAGUAAAUACAACAGCCACUUUCAGGCUAGUGAGAUCGUGCUCGUGCAGUCCGAGCUCCGAAAAGAGUUAGAGCACCUGCUAAGCAUGCUCUGUAUAUUAGACGAACGAGCACUGAGGAUCAUAGCAAUGGCUAUUAACUUACAUGUUGGCACAGUCAGUCGCUACUAACACGAUAGGUGUACGCUUUUUAUCUUUUUUUUUUUUACAUGUUUUUAUCUUCAAAUUAGAGUCUGCUAUCUUUUUCAUUAACUUGACUAACAUUAGAAGCGUUUUUGAUGUUUGAAUUUAAGAACAUCAGUUUGAAGGCCGUCAGGGACAAGUCUGCUGUGCCGCUAGCAACCAUUAACUUCGAAGUUGCAUAACAUGGCUAACAAAUGCGAAGAUGCCGUGGAGAAUAAAAGAAUAGUCGUUCAGCUCCGGCUCGUAAACGCCCCUUAGAUUUCGAAACCCCAAUACCCCAUAAAAGGACAGUACAUCUAUUUACAGACAUGUCACAAUCUGCAGGGCACAUCUGCGAGACACUAUUAAAUUUUGAUUUGACAGCGUACCAAAUUUUGCAUUCCAUGGUUAUCAUCUGUAACGAUGAAAUCGAUUGCUUAAUCCCGUACAACCAAUCCCUACUAAAUUCAUUGCUUUCUGAAAAUUUCACAUUUUACAGUCUUACACUUAUUUGUGGAUUAUGUUUUUUUAGAUGUUCAUUAAAAAUAGACAGAGUCACUUAAACACGGCAUACACGCAUCAUUGUGCGCCUUAAUAUCGUCACGGCAAUUUAUUGCUAGAUUAAAUUAUUUUCUACGUCCGCACGUUAUGGUGAGACGUG